rnacentral:rRNA from 1 species
AUUGAACGCUGGCGGCAUGCUUUACACAUGCAAGUCGAACGGUAACAGGGAGCUUGCUCCGCUGACGAGUGGCGAACGGGUGAGUAAUGCGUCGGAACGUGCCGAGUAGUGGGGGAUAACGCAUCGAAAGGUGUGCUAAUACCGCAUACGUACUGAGGUAGAAAGUGGGGGACCUUCGGGCCUCACGCUAUUCGAGCGGCCGACGUCUGAUUAGCUAGUUGGUGAGGUAAAGGCUCACCAAGGCGACGAUCAGUAGCGGGUCUGAGAGGAUGAUCCGCCACACUGGGACGGAGACACGGCCCAGACUCCUACGGGAGGCAGCAGUGGGGAAUUUUGGACAAUGGGCGCAAGCCUGAUCCAGCCAUGCCGCGUGUCUGAAGAAGGCCUUCGGGUUGUAAAGGACUUUUGUCCGGGAGCAAAUGCCUGGUGUUAAUACCCACCGGGGAUGAGAGUACCUGAAGAAUAAGGACCGGCUAACUACGUGCCAGCCGCCGCGGUAAAAC